AUUGAACGCUGGCGGCAUGCUUUACACAUGCAAGUCGAACGGUAACAGGGACUUCGGUCUGCUGACGAGUGGCGAACGGGUGAGUAACAUAUCGGAACGUGCCCAGUAAUGGGGGAGUAGCUCGGCGAAAGCCGGAUUAAUACCGCAUACGCCCUGAGGGGGAAAGGUGGGGGAGUCUUCGGACCUCACGUUAUUGGAGCGGCCGAUAUCAGAUUAGCUAGUUGGUGGGGUAAAGGCCGUACCAAGGCGACGAUCUGUAGCUGGUCUGAGAGGACGACCAGCCACACUGGGACUGAGACACGGCCCAGACUCCUACGGGAGGCAGCAGUGGGGAAUUUUGGACAAUGGGCGCAAGCCUGCUCCAGCCAUGCCGCGUGCGGGAAGAAGGGCCUCGGUUGUAACCGUACGUUUACGUUCUAGGGAAGGAAAGUACUUACUGGGUCGUAAGU
rnacentral:rRNA from 1 species